CCUACGGGUGGCAGCAGUGAGGAAUAUUGGUCAAUGGACGAGAGUCUGAACCAGCCAAGUAGCGUGAAGGAUGACUGCCCUAUGGGUUGUAAACUUCUUUUAUAUGGGAAUAAAACAGGGUAUGCAUACCCUCUUGUAUGUACCAUAUGAAUAAGGAUCGGCUAACUCCGUGCCAGAAGCCGCGGUAAUACGGAGGAUCCGAGCGUUAUCCGGAUUUAUUGGGUUUAAAGGGCGAGUAGGUGGAUUGUUAAGUCAGUUGUGAAAGUUUGCGGCUCAACCGUAAAAUUGCAGUUGAAACUGGCAGUCGUGAGUACAGUAGAGGUGGGCGGAAUUCGUGGUGUAGCGGUGAAAUGCUUAGAUAUCACGAAGAACUCCGAUUGCGAAGGCAGCUCACUGGACUGCAACUGACACUGAUGCUCGAAAGUGUGGGUAUCAAACAGGAUUAGAUACCCUAGUAGUC
rnacentral:rRNA from 1 species